rnacentral:rRNA from 1 species
UACAGAGGGGGCAAGCGUUGUUCGGAAUUACUGGGCGUAAAGGGCUCGUAGGCGGCCAACUAAGUCAGACGUGAAAUCCCUCGGCUUAACCGGGGAACUGCAUCUGAUACUGGAUGGCUUGAGUUCGGGAGAGGGAUGCGGAAUUCCAGGUGUAGCGGUGAAAUGCGUAGAUAUCUGGAGGAACACCGGUGGCGAAGGCGGCAUCCUGGACCGACACUGACGCUGAGGCGCGAAAGCUAGGGGAGCGAACGGG